GACCGUGUAGCUCAGUUGGAAGAGCAUUGGGCUAGUAUUCCAUAGGUCGUAGGUUCGAAUCCCACCGUGGCCG